GACUGUUAUUGUAACUAUUGCAUUGUCCUGCCAUCAUACAGAUUCACUUUGAUUCUGUUAGCCUAACUAAAAUCUGUGAUACGAGCACGGAGUGAGUCUGUGCUGAGAUCACGGAUAACUAUAACGCAAGUCAAUGACACUCUUCUUCCGUGGUCCACACACGGAAACCCAGUCUCACGGCAGUUCGUGAUUUUGUCACGUAAUUUAAUCUAUUUAUUCGUGGCAGGCACACGUUUAUUUCCUUAUUUUCAUGAUUGCAGCACGUUUUUUUAAACUAAUGCAUUUCAACUGGAGGCAUCUUUCGUGCAUCAGCACAAUAUUUUCUGAUUAAUUAUUAUUAUUAUUAUUUAAUUUUUCACAGGACAACAGAAGAAACUCACUGAAACUUGAAAAAAAAAUCGGAGCUUAACUUACUGUACAAAACUGAGCAACAUACUGUAUUGCUGGUGACAAAAACACAUUAAAAAAUUUUUAGCUGUAAAAUGCGCAAUGGUUCUUUUUUUACUUUUCAUUGAUUUUUAUUUUUUUCACAGGCCUAGAUUUAUUUGUUUUUUUUAUUACAGAAUUCAAUAUCAAGUCCUUGACACAUAACUGUAACACAUUUUCACAUUAAGAAACAAUUUAGUUUAAAUAAAAAGAACAAAAAAUAUCUAAAAAUAAAUACAUUAUUUAUUAGCGAUAGGCCUACAGAUUUAUUUUUUUUAAUUUAUUUUUUAUUUUUUUACUUUAGACUCUAAAGUUAAAAGUUUUUAUUAAGGCUAUUGUAAAGGCUUCUUAAAAAUGAUGUCGCUGAUGAGCCUCUGAUCGCUGUCAGAUUCUGUGAUAUGAAUGUCCGCUAAUGGGUUUAGAAUGAGCCCCGCUCGGCCCGUGUUCUGGCUUACUGUAAUAUUUCACCUGUAAUAAGACCGAAAUAAUAUAAUUAAAAUAAAGAAAUGAAUGAAUACAUGAUAACAUCUAAAUAAAUGUUGAAAGAUUUAGCGUUAUAGUUUUAAAAAUAUUAAUAAACAGCAAAUCAACACAGAAAGACCUAAAUAAUAAUAAUACAUAAUUAAUAAACAGCGCCGCCCCUCCCACUACGCGCAUCACGCGCUGUGCGUCAACCCCAAAGCGUCAAAAACUGAAGCGUGGUCAAGCGCCUCUAGCAUCACUGACAUGAGAUGUUUAUCGCUUUGAAAUCACGUUCAAGAAGUCUCAUUCAGCACACAUCGCGAUACUUUCCAUCAGUUUGCAAGAGCCGCAGGUUGGGUGAGUUAUACAGUCUAUGGUGAGUAGUAGUAAAUAUGCUCUUUUAAUGCCUGUCAUAAAACGUAUUCUGUCUUCUUUAUUAAUCAGAUGAGCGCCUUGUGUUAACUCUCUGUAUUACAUCGGUCAUCCGAGGCUGUCUUUGAGUUUCAUUGUGUUUAACUAAAUGAACACAGCUGCUAACUGGUUAAACUCUAUCGGUCACGUGACGUGACGUGACGUGCCACAGACCUGGGAUCCGUUUUAUAUUCAUUUCAGGUUCAAAGAUCUGAAAAGACGUAAAGUAAGCAGUCACCCCAGUGGUGUUUGUGGAGAGGUAUUCCUUCAGAAAUGGAGAAGACAGAAAGCUGCAGAGGCAGGAUUGUUUCCAGAUAACACUGUAGUUCUCCGUCAUGCACAAGGAUUCACCUCUUUAACUCCCCCCCCCCCGCCACACACACACACAGAGAAAUGGUUCCUGGAUCAGUGACUCAAGACUUUGCAGUGGUUUGAUUUCUGCAGAAGAUGUAACUUUGUUUUAAUUAACCUUAUAAUGAAUACAUUGUGACCUUCCAGCAACCCAUAUACUGUACUGUAUACAGAACCAGUGAUGACAACAAUAGUUAAAAAAUAGCAUUUAUCAUAUUGAUAAAGCAUUGUGUUCUCUUUGUCAAGCUUCAUACAGUAAACUUUACUUCUGGUGCUUUUAUCAUAAAAAAGCUUCAGUUCUCAUCAGGAGUUUUAGUAAAGCACAUAUUCAUGCACAGCAAUCCCCUAGUUCCAGUCAUGAAGUGAAUGAUGUUA